GUUUAAUGUGACUGAUCAAGUUGGAAAUAAAGUAAGAGAUGAACAAAUCAUCAGCUAUAUCCAAAAGACUCUUGAAAAUGAUGAGGUUCUGUUACCCUCUUUAAGGGGAACUGUUGGCUUGAUACCUUCUGAAGAGCACACGUCCAUUGAACUUAGUGGUACAGACAGACCUGGCUUAUUGUCUGAAGUGUGCGCAGUUCUUGCUGACCUUCACUGUAAUGUGG
rnacentral:misc_RNA from 1 species